rnacentral:rRNA from 1 species
CGGGUGAGUAACGCGUGGAAAACCUGCCGUAUACUGGGGGAUAACACUUAGAAAUAGGUGCUAAUACCGCAUAAGCGCACAGCUUCGCAUGAAGCGGUGUGAAAAACUCUGGUGGUAUACGAUGGUUCCGCGUCUGAUUAGCUAGUUGGUAAGGUAACGGCUUACCAAGGCAAUGAUGCAUAGCCGAGUUGAGAGACUGAUCGGCCACAUUGGGACUGAGACACGGCCCAAACUCCUACGGAAGGCAGCAG